rnacentral:misc_RNA from 1 species
UUGUUCGAUUCAAGCCCAAACGUUCAGACGGAGAGAGUUUGAAAAAAAAAACAUCGCCGGGGAGGGCAAACCCAGAGGGGCCCACCGGCUCCCCGGACGUCGGCAAAGGGUUGAAGGAUUCCCUCCGUGGGGAGGGUCCAUUCUGUAAUGAUCCUUCCGCAGGUUCACCUACGGAAA